rnacentral:rRNA from 1 species
AAAGGAAUUGACGGGGACCCGCACAAGCGGUGGAGCAUGUGGUUUAAUUCGAAGCAACGCGAAGAACCUUACCUGGCCUUGACAUCUGGCUGACGGGAUAGUAAUGUAUCCUUUCCUUCGGGACAGCCAAGACAGGUGGUGCAUGGUUGUCGUCAGCUCGUGUCGUGAGAUGUUGGGUUAAGUCCCGCAACGAGCGCAACCCUUAUCCUUAGUAGCCAGCAGUGAGAUGGGAACUCUAGGGAGACUGCCGGGGAUAACCCGGAGGAAGGCGGGGAUGACGUCAAAUCAUCAUGCCCCUUAUGGCCAGGGCUACACACGUGCUACAAUGGCGCAGACAAAGGGAAGCGAAGCCGCGAGGCGGAGCAAAACCCAGAAAGAGCGUCCCAGUUCGGAUUGUAGUCUGCAACCCGACUACAUGAAGCCGGAAUCGCUAGUAAUCGCGAAUCAGCAUGUCGCGGUGAAUACGUUCCCGGGUCUUGUACACACCGCCCGU